rnacentral:misc_RNA from 1 species
CUUUUUUUUUUUUUCAGGAAUUUAUAAAAACUGAAUCCAAAAGCUAAGAACGAGAAACCUCAAAACAACUGAAAACUGUGUAUUUACACAUUUAUAACAAAGUUAAAACAUUUUAUGUAUAAAAUAACAGAGUUUGCAGGAAGGGGUACAUUAUACAUACAUUAAAUGGUAGAGAGAUACACAGACAAGUUCUUUUUAUGCCAUUUUCAAGUGAUAAGAGAAGAGGGAAAAUUUUGUGGCAGCGGAAUCAAUCAUCACCACCUUUCUUCUUUUCUUUCAAAGAAUUCACUGGAAAAUUUUGAUUCAGCUUUUCUUUCACCUGCUACUUGCCUUGUUCAGGGUCUUCUUUUAUGCUCAUCUCUACCAUUUGAAAGCCUCCGUCUUCGGUGGCAAUGGUGGAUUGUGAGUCAAGGCCUGACCCGGCUUGUAUUUCUUUAAACAUUGCCAUAACUUGAAUCAUAGUGGGUCGUCUCCAUGGCCGAUCAUCCAAACAAGCACCGGCCACCUCUAAGUGUCGCAAAAGCUCAAUCUUUAGAUUUGGAUCUUCUUUCAUAAGUACUGGAUCAAAAACAUCUGUUAUUUUCAAUUUUGCUUGCUGCUUUACCCACCCAACAAGAUUGUUGUCACCAAAAUCAGCUGAAUCUGUUGGCCUCUUUCCUGUUAGCAACUCCAGCAAAACUACACCAUAACUGUAUACAUCACCUUUGGUAGAACAUCUAAAGCUCUGGUAAUAUUCAGGAGGAACAUAACCAGGCGUGCCAGCCAAUGUGCUAACACUCAAAUGUGUAUCCACUGCAUUCAUGAGCCUUGCCAUUCCAAAAUCAGACACUCUGGCCUCCAAAUUCUCAUCAAGCAAAACAUUGCUUGAUUUCAUGUCCCUGUGAAUGAUAUGUGGCUUGCAAUUAUGAUGAAGAAAAGCCAACCCCCUGGCAGCUCCAAUGGCAAUCUUUCUCCUGGCAGCCCAGUUCCAUAUGAUCCCAGCUUUUUUGGGGUCGCGCAGAACGUCCUCUAAGCUUCCAUACUUCAUGUACUCAUACACCAAUAGCCUCUCUUCUCCAACCUUGCAGUACCCAAGAAGGGGAACAAGGUUCUGGUGCUUGAUUUUCCCAAUGGUUUUCAUUUCAGCAGUGAAUUCCUUAUCACCCUGUCCACUGAUAUGUAUCAGCUUCUUAACGGCUACAACGCUUCCAUCUUUCAGUUGGGCCUUGUACACAUCACCAAAACCUCCGGAGCCUAUAAGGCUGUCAUUGUGGAAGCCAUUUGUUGCUUCAAGAAGAUCUGCAAAAGUGAGAUUCUGCAGGGGCUUCUCAAAGGUCGCAAGGUUGAUGCUCAAAGCUUCACGUGCUCCAGUUAACUUCCAACUAGUAUUAGCUGACCCUGAGUGUGAAUGGUUGCCGAUAUAGAUGUCAAGGACUGAAUCUUUCUUUUUCUUUCUUUUCUUUGCCUCUAUAGCAACUAUGAUCAAAGCAAAGAUGCAGAAAAGUGAGAACAACGACAGUCCCAUUACUACACUCCCUGCUAGAGAUGCUUGUCUCCUAUGAAACUUCUGAUGCUGAGAAUUUGCGCUUGUGUCUGAUCCUGAUCCACAUUUAGGAAGCGGUAUCCCACAGAGGCCUGAAUUAUUGGCAAAGCUGGCUGCUUGAAAUGUUUCAAACUGACCCAUUUCAGGAAUCAUUCCUGUGAGAUCAUUGUUGGACAUAUCAAUCUCUGUAAGCAAUGAAAGGCGAGUCAAGGAUUGUGGAAUCAUCCCUUUCAGCUUAUUGUUGGACAGAUUAAGAAUGUUAAGAUCAUCCAAGUUUCCAAGCUCCUCUGGAAUACCGCCAGAAAUAUUAUUAUGGCCCAAAUUCAAGAUAUAGAGAUAUGCCAUGGUCCCAAUCUCCUUUGGAAUGCUCCCUGACAAUGUGUUGUAUGAAAGAUCAAGAAAGAUCAUUGAACCAUUAUCAUUGAACGUGGGCUGCGUGUGACCUCCAUAUACUCUAGUGAAAUCACAGGGGUCCCUGGUGGAGAUUCUAUCCAAAUUUUCCGGUCUAAUUCCCGCAAACUCUAGCAAAUUGCCUUCUCCAUGGCAUCGCUCACUCUUCUUAUUCUUAAGAUACACGUAUCUCUUUCCGGUGAUAAAAUUUACAGCAACUUUGCCAGACUGUCUGAAUAGCUCAGCUGGGAUUGUGCCAUUCAAGAAAUUAGUAUUAAGAUCCAACCAAAUCAAGCUGCCGCAUUCACCAAGCUCCGGCGGAAUUCUGCCAUAAAAUGAGUUGUUGCUUAGUUUAAGAAUGGAAAGACUCGAAAGCUUUCCAAUUGAUGCAGGAAUCUCACCAAUCAACUGAUUGUUAGACAAUGAGAUCCAGUUCAGCUUUGAGCAGUUGCUUAUAGUAGAGGGAAUAACUCCUGUCAAGUCAUUGAAGUCUAGAAUCAAAGUCUCUAGUGUUUGUAUGUUCAUUAUCUCUGGCGGGAUGUCUCCACGGAGCUGAUUGAACCAUAGCUUCAAAUCGCGAAGCUUAGGGAGCGAACCCAAGCUGGAAGGAAUUGUGCCCGAAAGGUAAUUGAAGCUCAAAUGAAGUGAAGCAAGUCGAGAACAGUUGCUCAGACUAGCAGGAAUAGACCCGGUAAACAAAUUGUUUUGAAGAAACAGUUCUUUCAAGUUGUUACUUGGAUCUUGACACAAACCAGUAGGGAUUGGCCCAGAUAAACUAUUAGAACUCAGAUCUAAGGACUCCAAACUAGUGAGCUUUGAGAAAGAAUCAGGCAAACCACCAUUGAAAUGAUUAUAUGAAAAAUCAAGAUUCUUCAAGCUACUCAUUUUCAAGAGAGUAUCAAUCGGCAAGUCACCAGUGAAGUUGUUGCUAGAUAUAUCAAAAAAUUCCAAUGAAGUGCAAGCAGCAAAACUACUAGGGACAAAACCCGUAAGAUUAUUUGAGGACAGAUCAAGCUGAACGAGACCUGGACAAGCUUCCAUGAUAUGAAGAGGAAUCCUCCCUUGAAAAUUGUUACCAUCAAGAUAAAGAAACUGCAAAUUCCCAGUCGGAAGCACUGGAAUUGGACCCGAAAACUGGUUGCUGGACACAUUCAAGAAGCUGAGCUUAGUACACGCAGCAAUUCCAUGAGCAAGAUCGCCAUAGAACUUAUUGGAAGAGAUAUCAAGAUGCUCCAAAGCCAAACAAUCACCAAAUGAGGGGAUGCUCACGGAGAAAUUAUUUAAAGAAACAUCCAGGAACUUUAGAUUCUUGCAAUCGGAAACGUCAACAUCUCCACUAACUUUAUUUCCCUUCAAAGAAAAGUACAGCAACUCAUUGCAGCCUCCAGAUAAAAUGAAGGGCACCGCGUUUGAACCUGAAAUCUUAUUGAAAGAAAGAUCAAGAGACUCGAAGCUGUGCUUCAACCCACUGGAUUUAUCCUUGAGAGAAAAAUCAAGGGAGUUGUUAGAAAGAUUCAAGUAUUUCAAAGAUUCACACGAACCUAAAUUGGCUAUAUCAGAGAUAGGACCUGAUAGACCAUUUUGGGAUAGAUCUAAGUUGCUCAAAACUGAACUGCACUUAGAUCCAGAAGGGAAAGAAAUGGAGCCAGAAAUGUUGGUUGAUUUCAAAGAAACGCUCUCUAGCUUAUCAAGAGUCAAAAGAAAUGCAGCCACCGUGCGAAAAUCAGUGCUUAAAGGAAUGGAAGAGAGGUUUAGAGAGGAGACUGUGUUUGUUUCUUGGCAUUCUACACCAGCGAAGGUACAUGGGUUUUGGUUAGGAAGCCAGGUUGGGAGGUUAUCUGGGUUGGCUAGAGCGUUCUUAAAGUUGAUAAGAUUUUGUGCGUCUUUGUUUGCUGAGGUAAAAGGUGGUGCUAGUACUGGUGAAGCUUGUAGUCGUAGCUGUAGAGAGAUAAAGGUGAAAGAGAUAAGCAAAAGAGAGAAGUGGGCUUUCAUUUUCUCUUAAUGGGUUUUCAUAGAGAGAGAGAAACAAAGGUGUUUAGAGUUUCAGGGCUGCCAUUAGAGGAAGAGCUCUAAGCUCCCUGUACACUGGUUUUAAAGAGCGAGAGAGAGAGAGAGAG